rnacentral:rRNA from 1 species
UACGUAGGGUGCGAGCGUUAAUCGGAAUUACUGGGCGUAAAGCGUGCGCAGGCGGUUUUGUAAGUCGGAUGUGAAAUCCCCGGGCUUAACCUGGGAACUGCGUUUGAAACUACAAGGCUAGAGUGUGGCAGAGGGGGGUGGAAUUCCACGUGUAGCAGUGAAAUGCGUAGAGAUGUGGAGGAACACCGAUGGCGAAGGCAGCCCCCUGGGUUAACACUGACGCUCAGGCACGAAAGCGUGGGGAGCAAACAGG